GGCGGCGUGCCUAAUACAUGCAAGUCGAACGGUCUUUCUAUGGAAGCUUGCUUCCACUGAGAAGAUAGUGGCGAACGGGUGAGUAACACGUGGGUAACCUGCCCAUAAGAGGGGGGAUAACAUCCGGAAACGGGUGCUAAUACCGCAUAGUUUUCUUGAUCGCAUGAUCGGGAAAGGAAAGACGGCCUUUGUGCUGUCGCUUAUGGAUGGACCCGCGGCGUAUUAGUUAGUUGGUGAGGUAACGGCUCACCAAGACGAUGAUACGUAGCCGACCUGAGAGGGUGAUCGGCCACAUUGGGACUGAGACACGGCCCAAACUCCUACGGGAGGCAGCAGUAGGGAAUCUUCCGCAAUGGACGAAAGUCUGACGGAGCAACGCCGCGUGAGUGAAGAAAGGUUUUCGGAUCGUAAAACUCUGUUGUCAGAGAAGAACAAGUUGGAGACUAACUGCUCCAGCCUUGACGGUAUCUGACCAGAAAGCCACGGCUAACUACGUGCCAGCCGCCGC
rnacentral:rRNA from 1 species